rnacentral:misc_RNA from 1 species
UGGCUCUGGCAUCGAUGAAGAACGCAGCGAAAUGCGAUAAGUAAUGUGAAUUGCAGAACUUAGUGAAUCAUCGAAUCUUUGAACGCACAUUGCGCCCCUCGGUAUUCCGGGGGGCAUGCCUGUUCGAGCGUCAUUACACCCCUCAAGCUCAGCUUGGUCUUGGGGCCUGCCCGUCACUGGGCAGCCCUUAAAAGCAGUGGCGGCGCCUCCCGGCCCUACGCGUAGUAUCUUGCUCUCGCGACGGUGUCGGGUUGGUGCCCUGCCAGAACCCCCCCAUUUUGUAACGAUUGACCUCGGAUCAGGUAGGGAUACCCGCUGA